AUUUAUCUAGGUUGUAACACUCCACGGAAGGUUUUCUGUGACAUGACCACCAAUGGCGGGGGAUGGACGGUAAUACAGAGAAGAUUUGACGGAUCAACAGAUUUCAACAGAGAAUGGAAAGAUUACAAGGAAGGGUUCGGGGAUCCCAGUAAAGAGUACUGGUUAGGAAAUGACGCAAUCCAUGAUCUUACUGCUGGCAAAAACCAAGAACUUUGGAUAGACUUAGAAAAAAUUCUCCGGUUCAAUGGUGUAUGCACGAUAUUCAAGUUUCUCAGUCGGAAGUGAGAUAGAAAAAUACCAACUGUCAAUUGAAGAAUUCAGUGGCAGCGCAGAUGACAUGAUGAUACAAGCUUAUAAUUUGAAUGGUUCGUAUUUUUCAACAAAGGAUCGUGAUAAUGACCAUAAUUCCUACAACUGUGCUGCCAAGUAUCACCCUGGAGGAUGGUGGUUUAACAGUUGUACACACUCAAAUCUCAACGGCGUAUACCAGACUUCUAAUAAACAAAACAGGGAGAGUUUGUUCUGGGGAAUAAAUGGUGAAAACAUGAAAUCUACUAAGAUGAUGUUAAGAUCGAAAUAAAAAAUAGGUUCGAACGAAUUGCACCGCGAUCUGUUUAAUUAUUGUCAUACAUAGAAUUUUGCAAAUUUUAAUAUCAAGUUUGUUUUAUUCAAAUAUUUACCAAAUAGAAA